AGUUCCCCUUUCUGUAUUUGAGUUCUACCGUCAGUCCUGGCAUUAUUUCUCUCUCUACAAGGAGCCUUAGGAGGUACGGGGAGCUCGCAAAUACUCCUUUUGGUUUAUUCUUACCACCUUGCUUCUGUGUUCCUUGGGAAUGCUGCUGUGCUUAUGCAUCUGGUCUCUUUUUGGAGCUGCAGUGGACAGGCAUUUGUGACAGCACUAUGGGACUGAGUAACACUCUCUUUGUGAUGGCCUUCCUGCUCUCUGGUAAGAACCUUUCAGCUUUGUUAAGUCCUGGAAUCCUACUGUCUCCUGAUGAGUCUGACCACAGCAAGCCCAGGCCUGAGACUUGGUGCUGCUCCCCUGAAGAUUCAAGCUUAUUUCAAUGAGACUGCAGACCUGCCAUGCCAAUUUGCAAACUCUCAAAACCGAAGCCUGAGUGAGCUAGUAGUAUUUUGGCAGGACCAGGAAAACUUGGUUCUGAACGAGGUAUACUUA
rnacentral:sRNA from 1 species